rnacentral:tRNA from 1 species
CCGCGUUGGGGUUCCGGUUAGGUCAUUGCCGGCUGCCGACCGGCGGUAUCGAUCGGCAUCGGCGAUUCUGGGAUCCGGGUCCCGCCUCGCGGCCC